UUGUCGGACAAUGAGAUUGUCAAGCUUGAGAACUUCCCUUUCAUGAAUCGCCCAGGGAGCCUGCACCUAAUUACAACUUACAAUGAGAGGGAGCAGGUGACGCCCAGCCCCCAGGGACUCCGCAUCCAAGUCUCGGCCGUCCUCCGCAGCAAGGAGUUGAGCCAAAGGAGCAAGCAGCGCUGCUGGUUCCUUCGAGGAUGCGUGCUCCUGGUCGAGUCUUGUGGAGAAGCAGGGCGAAUUGGGCAUCGUCUGACUUGUGCCGCUGUGGUGAAUGAGGUUUUCAAAUGUUGAAGGAGGACAAUAGGAACUUCUGUUAUUUCUUAUCAUCUGAAUUUCUAUUUUAAUUUUCUUUGUUGUAGAAUAGUUUUGUUUGGCACUUACUGUUCCUGGGAUGUAAAGAUAUGUAUUGCUGGAACGAAUGAUUGUAAUAUUAUAACUUUGCACGUUGCUUUGAAAAUGUAUCAGAACUGGGCUAGGCCCAAGAUAGCUUAUGGUGUGAUGUGUUGUAAUGUCAAUGGCAUAAUAUAUAUUUUUGGAUUGGAUCAA